rnacentral:rRNA from 1 species
CCUACGGGAGGCAGCAGUGGGGAAUAUUGGACAAUGGGGGCAACCCUGAUCCAGCCAUGCCGCGUGUGUGAAGAAGGCCCUCGGGUUGUAAAGCACUUUCAGUGAGGAAGAACGCCUGGUGGUUAAUACCCAUCAGGAAAGACAUCACUCACAGAAGAAGCACCGGCUAACUCCGUGCCAGCAGCCGCGGUAAUACGGAGGGUGCGAGCGUUAAUCGGAAUUACUGGGCGUAAAGCGCGCGUAGGUGGCUUGAUAAGCCGGUUGUGAAAGCCCCGGGCUCAACCUGGGAACGGCAUCCGGAACUGUCAAGCUAGAGUGUAGGAGAGGAAGGUAGAAUUCCCGGUGUAGCGGUGAAAUGCGUAGAGAUCGGGAGGAAUACCAGUGGCGAAGGCGGCCUUCUGGACUGACACUGACACUGAGGUGCGAAAGCGUGGGUAGCAAACAGGAUUAGAUACCCUAGUAGUC